GUAACUGGCAUUAAUGAACAAAGUAACAUGGGAUAAGCCUUGAAUAAGGGCAUCAUCCUGAGUGUACCAAUUUAUUACAAAACAAGCAAGAUGAUUCAUUGCAUUCCUAGC
rnacentral:lncRNA from 14 species